rnacentral:lncRNA from 1 species
GGGGUAAGGGAGGAGUGAGCCUGGGUGCUGUGGGGGGAGGGGGUUGUUCAAGGGAUGGGGACGAUCAGGGUCUCUGGGAAGUGCUGACGUGUGCGCGUGUGCGGUGUGUUGCUUGUGGGUGCGUGUGUGGUGUGUGCAUGUGUGUGCGCGCGCGUGUGUGCGGGGUGUGCCGUGAGCGUGUGCCCGCGGUUCGGGGGAUGAGUAGGGGCGCUGACUUUUAGGACCAGCCAUUUGAGUCAAGCUGGAGACGACGUCUUAGAACCUAGGAUGAGUCUCGUUUGGUUUUAGUCUGCAAAGCUCGUCUGCAUCAGACAGGAAUUUUCCCCAGACGCGGGUGCACGUGAAUUAAUUCAUCAGAAGGCGGUUCACGGCCUGAGUGAGGGGGACGAGGGCGGCGAAUUCCUCCGCCUCAUUCCUACCCUGACGAUUCGAGUUCGUUUCUGCUGCGGCGGCAAGAGGCUGGGGAGCCGAUGACUCACCCUGCCGGCUAAUUGCAGCGUUAAAUAACUUUGCGCCGGAUUCGGUGGCUGCAGCAGGGAACGCGCUCCGGGCGCCGGGGGAGGUGGAGGGACGCCCUGAGAACGCACCUCCGUCCCUGUCACCAGCCUUAGCAAGUUCUGGCCUGUGGAGCCGUCAUCCAGAGCGCACAGCUUCAUGCCCUUGAAGGGCGCAGUGUGUCCCGUGGUGCCCGGUGGGCCCGGACAGAGACCCCAGAGGCUCUGUCUGAAGGAAGCUGCACCCACAGACUCCAUCCAGGCAGCGCGGGCGCGGUCCUGUCGCCUACCUUUCUCGGAAGCCAUCUGCCCAUGUGAAUCUAUGUGAAGGCCCUUCAUGCGCUCCUGGACAUCUGCGUGGGAUUUACUUCAACUGCUAUCGCUGCGAGGAGGACGAGCAUGUUUCACUGUAUUUUUAGCAGAGAGUGCAGAUUUUAGAACCUCGCGAACGGUCCUGUAUCUCCUGCACGAUGACUCUCCAGAACAGGAAUAGUGACCCUUCCUUUGCAUUUAUGGUGCAUAGGUUUUCAAAGGACAGUGUGUAAAUCAGCUUGUGUAAUAAUUGUGGCACCCACGCGCGCAAGCAGACUUACCAUGAGCUGACUUCCACUGAUUAUUUCAGUUUCCAGGGAAACGAGGUUUGCAGCCCCCUCCAGUGAGGGCGGAGCGGCCUCUCCAUUCCCAAUGCAGCAAGGCUGCUGCAGCCACGAUGAUUAGGCUUUGGAGGAGGAAGUGAACGGAUGGGGCCUCAUCCUCCUGCCUCCCUAAAGGGUGAGGGUGGAAGGAUGGGGCUGUGCCCUCUUAGGGCAGGGAAAAACAGCUUGGAGGGGUUUCUGCCAUCAGAGAUCCCAUAGGAGGCAGGUCAGUCCUGCAGAAUUUCUCCCCAGUCUGGCCUCCAGCCUCCCUGGCCCCUUUCUAGAGGCCUCCAUCCCACUGGCGGCUUGCUCCUGCCACCGGGCCUCUGCACAGUCACCUCCUGCAGCCUGGGGUGUGUCGCCUCUCCACGUCCUCACCGGCGUCUGCCUUUGCAUUUCCCAGAUGCUCGCUUCACCCCACUGAGAUGUAACUCAGUUUUGUGGGAUCCCACUGCCCUCCAGGUGCCGCUCCGAGUGCUCUACACAGAUUUUCAUUCAGUCCUUGCGGCACACGAAGGGAUGGCCUCUGCACUUCAGCUGGUUUCUGACACCUAAAAACAGAAGUGGAAAAGGGAGCAGACGCAGCCACAUUUUGAAAGCUGAUUCGGUUGCUUUCUGGCAGAAUCCCUGCCCCCAAGCACCUGCCAGGCCCACCCAUGAAGCCUCUUCCCACGCCUUAACUCUGCCCCAUGAGGGGACCUCAAGCAGUUGCAGUCUAGUCAGGUGAUUUGCAGAGCUCAGGGCUCAGGGAGGGGCACCCACCUCAGAAAAAAGCGCCGUGCUCAUGAGAAAUGACUUCUACAGGUUGUUGGGGAAAGAGGAGUUAUUUUAAAGAUCACAGAGCCCGUGAUGUGCCAGGCGCACCCACACAGGGCAUAUAGUCCCCGCAGCUGCCUCUGUGCUGGGGCCACGUCACCGUCCUGUCCUAAAGACAAGCAAUGUGAAGCCCAGAGAUGGUAUCUUAAAACAAUCGUGUGGUUUUUUUCUGAUUACAACAGCAAUUGUGUUAAUCCAACAAUAUUUUUCCUAUCAACUGUAAACCUUAUUUUAAUAUUUACAUAUUUAUUAGCAUUUAAAAUUCAAUCUCCUAGAAUAUUGACUUCAAUUAGUUUGGCUGAUUCUAAUUUUUUUUUUCUAAUUUGUUUAUCACUUAACUUUUUAAGUACUUUUUUUUUUUAGACAGAGUCUUGCUCUGUCACCCAGGCUGGAGUGCAGUGGUGCAAUCUCGGCUCACUGCAACCUCUGCCUCCUGGGCUCAAGCGAUUCUCCUGCCUCAACCUCCCGAGUAGCUGGGACUACAGGCUCACACCACCAUGCCCAGCUAAUUUUUAUAUUUUUAGUAGAGAUGGGGUUUCACCAUGUUGUCCAGGCUGGUCUCGAACUCCUGACCUCAAGUGAUCCCCCACCUCAGCCUCCCAAAGUGCUGGGAUUACAGGUGUGAGCCACCGUGCCUGGCCUGUUUUUAGUACUUUUAUCCUUUAUCUUUUUAACUACGUAAGUACUCAACAUUUUAAAUUAUUAAUCUUCACCAUGUUAUUUCCAAGAACAAUCACGAUUGAUCUUUCAGUUACACAGCCACGGUGUGUGCCUCUCUGUGUAACUCUGCACAGCUGGUGAUUUACUGAAAGAACUUACUCUCAUAAAACCACAGCCAGCGAGUUCUCAGAGACACAAUAAUGCACCUUAAUUAUGAGUUUAAAAGCUCUUGUCUUGUGAAAUGUAAUCGAUCCACAGAAAAAUCAUAAAGUAUACAUGUAAUAGCUUAAUGACUUAUAAAUGAAGAUCUGUAUACUUCCCACUCGAAAAACGGAAUAUUGCAGGAUUUGAGUACACAACCCGUACCUUUCCAACGACAGCCUCCCUCCCACCAGAGCUUCUGCUGAGUUCACUUGAAAUCACUUCCUUGCAUUUAUUUAUACUUUUAUUACCUUGAGGUGCAUCCCUAACCAUUCUAGUUCGAUUUUGCCUGGUGUUUGAACUUUAUAUUAAUGGAAUCAUAGGACAUAAUUCUUAUAUCUCUGGUUUCUUUCAUUCAACUUUGUGUCUGCGAAAUGUAUCCAUGUUGCAUGCAACGGGGGCUCAUUCAUCGCUGGUUACUGAUUCACUGCAUGAGUAUGACACAGUUUAUUAACCAUUUCACUGCUGAUGAACAUUUGAUCAUUUCUAGUUUGGGAAUAUUAUUAAUAAUUUUUGAACCUUCUUAUUUGUGUGCCCUGAUGUACAUGGACAUGCAUUUUAGGGGUGUAUACUUAGGGAAAUUGCCGGUUCAUGAGUAACACCUAUCUUCAGGUAUUACUUUUUGUGCCCUUUUAUGCUGAACUACAAUUUACGUGCAAUACCAAUCAUUCAUAUUAAGUGUACAACUCAGUGAGUUUAGACAACUGGACACCUUGUUGUGAGUCACCACCACCGAGAUGAUCCAGCACUGUCCCAACUCCCCCCAAGUUCUCCUUUGCAGGCACCCUCUCCCUCCAUUCUGGGCACAGGCAACCAUGAACCACUAUCUGUCACCGUAGCUUUAGUAUAAAAUUUCACAUACAUGGACUCAGGGAGCAUAGAGUCUUUCCUGUCUGGCUUCUUUCCGCUGGCAAAAUGCUUGGAGACUUUUCCACGUUGCUGCAUGAAUCAAUGGAUCAUUUGUUUUCGUGGCUGAGCAGAAUUCCACCAACAUUUGUUUACUCAUCCAUGAAAUGAUGGACAUUUGGUGUUUUUCCAUUGAGAUUGUUAUGAAUAAUGCUGCUAUUGUCAUUCAAGGACAAGUCUUCUGUGAACAUCUGUUUUCACUUCUCUUGGGUACAUCCUUAGAAGUGGUAUUGCUGGACUGUAUCAAAAGUUAAUAUUUAACUUUCAGGAAACUUACAAACUGUUUUCCAGAGUGGCUGUACCAUUUUGCAUUCCCAGACCGAAGUGUGAAAGCUCCAGAUGCCCCACGCCCUCACCAGCCCACGGUGUUGUCAGCCUUAAUAGUGCUGACCAUUCUGCCUGUUAAUAUGAUGAAUUACACUGAUUCAGUUUCAAAUGUCCAACCAAGCUUGCACUCCAGAGAUGAAGCCCACUUGAUCACAUGGAUUAUUCUUUUAAUAUAUGAUGGAUACGACUUGGCUGUUCUUUUGUUGAGGAUUUUUGUGUUUAUGUUAAUGAGGAUAUUAUUUGUAGUUUUCUUUUCUUGUAAUGUUUUUGUCUUUGUUCAGUGUCAGAGUAAUGCCAACUUCAUAAAGUGAGCUGGGAAGUA